AAGCGUUUAUGACCAGACUUGGGCUUGGUUAAUCAUCUGGGGUUCUCCCCAGUGCACUUUUCCAGUCCAGGCCAGCAUCAGUUUUCCCCGGGGGAUAAAGGCGGCGGGAAUGUGGCUCUCUUCGGGGAGUGUUAUAGCC
rnacentral:rRNA from 1 species